UACGUAGGGGCAAGCGUUGUCCGGAUUUAUUGGGCGUAAAGAGCGUGUAGGCGGCCAGACAGGUCAGCUGUGAAAACUCGAGGCUCAACCUCGAGACGUCGGUUGAAACCGUCUGGCUAGAGUCCGGAAGAGGAGAGUGGAAUUCCCGGGUGUAGCGGUGAAAUGCGUAGAUAAUCGGGAGGAACAUCAGUGGCGAAGGCGGCUACCUGGCCCAAUACGUGACACUCAGGUGCGACGAGCGUGGGAGCAAACAGG
rnacentral:rRNA from 1 species